CUCUGAAAAAUGUAUUGUGUAAGUGUUGACACUCAAUUUGCAUGAUUAAUAACAGAUAUCGACUCGUUACCCGUACUACUGCAAAAAACAAAUAUUCAGUUCACUGAUUAAGAAGGAAGGUGUAGGGCAAGAACAUUAAAGAUAAAGGGAAACUACAAACAGAAGAAGUUAUCAACAAAAAUAGAUUUACAGAGGUCAACAAGUCUAAAUGGUCAGACAUCUUGAUUUUCAUGGUCAUCAUUCAACAGAUCAAUACUGAACAGAAAACUUAAAGUUGAUAUUUUUCUCCAUAGUGCGACUUUUUUUAUGAAUUUGAAAUGGAACAUGUUUUUUCCUUCAUUUAUAAGAAAGAGGAAAUUUCAACAUAACGACUAAACAAAAAGAUUGAGUCAUAUCAUCACAAUCAUAGUCUAGAUGCACAAGAACUUGAUCACGGAAAUGCAACAAUGUACGGAAUUAUCAAUUGGAAGAAGGACUGAAUGAAAAAAUUUUUAGUUUGUUGUUGUCUAAAUAAACUUGCUUUUCAUUUGAAUUGCUCCAUCCAAUAAAGAUGUAUAGAGAAAGAUCUUUGAAGAACAAAUUGAAAAAAUGUUUUGUCUAAGAAUUGCAGGAAUAUUCUGGUGGAUGAAAUAGUUUUACUGUUUAUUGACUUAAUUCUUAUGUAGCAUGUAUAGUGGACUGAAUAAUUGUACAUAGCAAGCAAUGAAAAAAGAAAACUACAACUUUAACUUUAACUUUUACAUAAUAUUAUGUAUAAGGUAUAUAAUUCAAAUUGUUUGCAUAUUCAUGUAUUGCAAUGAAACUAUACAUGCUAUAACAAAGAAAAGUUCUAUUUUUUAAAAUAAAAUAAAAAGACAAAGAUUUCAAAACAACAUUUUUUUCAUUUAUUUAGACAUGUCAU